UAGACGGGGACCCGCACAAGUGGUGGAGCAUGUGGUUUAAUUCGAAGAUACGCGAAGAACCUUACCUAGCCUUGACAUAUAUUAGAACAGACCAGAGAUGGACUGGUGCCUUCGGGAGCUUUUAUACAGGUGCUGCACGGCUGUCGUCAGCUCGUGUCGUGAGAUGUUGGGUUAAGUCCCGCAACGAGCGCAACCCUCGUCACUAGUUACUAACGGUUCGGCCGAGGACUCUAGUGAGACUGCCUUCGCAAGGAGGAGGAAGGUGAGGACGACGUCAAGUCAUCAUGGCCCUUACGGCUAGGGCAACACACGUGCUACAAUGGCCAGGACAAUGAGACGCGAUACCGCGAGGUGGAGCAAAUCUAUAAACCUGGUCUCAGUUCGGAUUGUAGUCUGCAACUCGACUACAUGAAGCUGGAAUCACUAGUAAUCGUAGAUCAGCUA
rnacentral:rRNA from 1 species